rnacentral:miRNA from 1 species
CAUGUACCUGUCUGUCAACAAAGAAAUCCAGGACAUGAGAUCACCACGGCAGCAGCUGGCACAGACAGGCAGCAAACAACCCACACU